GUUCCACCUCUUCCCAUUCCGAACAGAGAAGUUAAGCCUCGUCACGCCGAUGGUACUGCGUAACAGUGGGAGAGUAGGUAGCCGCCGUUU
rnacentral:rRNA from 1 species